rnacentral:rRNA from 1 species
GAUGAACGCUGGCGGCGUGCCUAAUACAUGCAAGUCGAACGCAGUGGGGACGGGUGAGUAACACGUGGGUAACCUCCCAUCAGAGGGGAUAACACUUGGAAACAGGUGCUAAACCGAUACUGAUGGAUGGACCCGCGGUGCAUUAGCCAGUUGGUGGGGUAACGGCUCACCAAGGCCACGAUGCAUCGCCGGAGUGAGAGGUGGAUCGGCCAAACGGGAACUGAGACACGGCCCAGACUCCUACGGGAGGCAGCAGUAGGGAAUAUUGGGCAAUGGACGAAAGUCUGACCGAGCAACGCCGAGUGAGUGAAGAAGGUUUUCGGAUCGUAAAGCACUGUUGUUGGAGAAGCGGUACCUAAACAGAAAGCCACGGCUAACUACGUGCCAGCAGCCGCGGUAAUUC